UGGGGAAUUUUGGACAAUGGGCGCAAGCCUGAUCCAGCAAUGCCGCGUGCAGGAUGAAGGCCUUCGGGUUGUAAACUGCUUUUGUACGGAGCGAAAAGGUCUGCCCUAAUACGGUGGGCUCAUGACGGUACCGUAAGAAUAAGCACCGGCUAACUACGUGCCAGCAGCCGCGGUAAUACGUAGGGUGCGAGCGUUAAUCGGAAUUACUGGGCGUAAAGCGUGCGCAGGCGGUUAUAUAAGACAGAUGUGAAAUCCCCGGGCUCAACCUGGGACCUGCAUUUGUGACUGUAUAGCUAGAGUACGGUAGAGGGGGAUGGAAUUCCACGUGUAGCAGUGAAAUGCGUAGAUAUGCGGAUGAACACCGAUGGCGAAGGCAAUCCCCUGGACCUGUACUGACGCUCAUGCACGGAAGCGUGGGGAGCAAACA
rnacentral:rRNA from 1 species